GAGGGUAUAGCUCAGUGGUAGAGGGUGUGCAUAGCAUGCAUGAGAUCCUGAGUUCAACCCCCAUACCUUCG
rnacentral:tRNA from 1 species